GUGAGGAAUAUUGCGCAAUGGAGGCAACUCUGACGCAGCCAUGCCGCGUGCAGGAAGAAGGCGCUACGCGUUGUAAACUGCUUUUAACCGGGAAGAAACCCCAGGACGUGUCCUGGGUUGACGGUACCGGAGGAAUAAGCACCGGCUAACUUCGUGCCAGCAGCCGCGGUAAUACGAAGGGUGCAAGCGUUAUCCGGAUUCAUUGGGUUUAAAGGGUGCGUAGGCGGAGCGUUAAGUCAGUGGUGAAAUCCUGCAGCUUAACUGUAGACUUGCCAUUGAUACUGGCGAUCUUGAGUGCGCUUGAAGUGGGCGGAAUGUGCCGUGUAGCGGUGAAAUGCUUAGAUAUGGCACAGAACACCAAUUGCGAAGGCAGCUCACUAAGGCGAUACUGACGCUGAGGCACGAAAGCGUGGGGAUCGAACAGGAUUAGAAACCCGAGUAGUCC
rnacentral:rRNA from 1 species